rnacentral:lncRNA from 1 species
CAGUUGCAUGGGGCUGGAUGAGGGAUGAACCGUGUUCCAGCUAAGCUGACCCUGGAAAGAUUGGGCUGGGUCAGGGCAUGCUGAGUCGUGAAGGACAGGGGAGGCGAUCUGAUUCCUUCCUUACCUCCAGACCUCUCCCUGCUGAGUGUGCUUGUCAGAAAUCGCCUUCCUCGUGCUGCCUCAUUCCAUUCGCUCGUGAACAUCCACUGGCGACAAAAUCCAAGGAGGAAAAUGCGUGCCAAGAAAGAUACAGUGUUUUGAGAACUGAGGGAGAGGGGAUGAAUAAACGAACAACGGAUGAGUGUGGAGGAGUUGACAAGGAGGUCGAAAGAGCGAGAGGAGACUGACAGGAUACACUCCGUGAGCCCGACGGACCCCCCUCCCAGAGCGCGCACCCGAUUUCCCAGUGUCAUCAGAGAGCGGCCUACAGCGUCAUAGGGUUUGCUUUUGGCACGAGAGAAAGGUCUGGAAGAAUCUCGGAGGUCCUCGGGGCCAAAUCCUUCAGGAUACAGUUAUGUGGACCUUGGUGCCUCAAAGUCAGCAGAUCCAAAAUACUAAACAGCCUGCCCUCCUUCUGCGCACGUUUCGUCUGUCACAGAACAUCAGCAACUCGGCUGGAAAUCGGGGAGAUGUUGGGGGAUCUACCCCCACGCUUGAUUCUUCUCUCUGGUCACUCCUCUGUCCCCCUCUGUUUCUGCUCCUCCCCUCCGCUCAGGGCUUCUUGGAUCCUUUACUGAAAACUUGGCGCGUUCCUUCUAGUGAACGCAAUGUGUGCCCUUAGGGAGGAGGGACCCAGAAGGAGGGACCACAGCGCCAAAGGUGCAGAGAAGAAUGAGGUCUGGGAAAGGUCGAUACGCAGGGCGAUAGGAGGCCACUUUGGCUGUGGUCUACAUUGGUAGUUUUUGUCCAAAGUGCAGUUUGAGUCAGGGUUAUACUAAAAUAUCUCCGCACGCGGUGACAGAGACUUGGACAUCCAUCGGCACGAGCAUCAGAUCCGAAAGGAUUAAGUCUCCAGCCCACGCCUUUUAUUUUGCAGAAAUGGAAAUUGGGUCCAAAGAACUAAGUGCCUUGCCCCAGACACAGCAGAGCCUAGAACCUCAGGGUCCCCGAGUCCCACAGAGCGUAAUGUUUUUUUUCCCCCACGAAAUCAGUGGUUCUCGGCGUGAUUCAUAUUAGAAUCACUGGAGAGCUUUUUACAAAAACACCUAAGUCUGUCUUUCCCCCAGGGAUUCUGACGUGCCAGGCCUUGGAUCGAGCUCAGCUAGAGCUCAGACCUCUUUUUCUUUCCCCCCUUUAUUUUUAACCUCAGUUGAGAACAGCUGGGCAAGAACUGGACCCCCCCCCCCU